rnacentral:rRNA from 1 species
GACGAACGCUGGCGGCGUGCUUAACACAUGCAAGUCGAACGGUGAAGCGCCUUCCUUUUUGGUGGGUGUGGAUGAGUGGCGAACGGGUGAGUAACACGUGAGUAACCUGCCCCCUUCUUCUGGAUAACCGCAUGAAAGUGUGGCUAAUACGGGAUAUCCUGGGUCUGUCGCAUGAUGGGUCUGUGAAAGAUAUUGUUUCGGUGGGGGAUGGGCUCGCGGCCUAUCAGCUUGUUGGUGGGGUGAUGGCCUACCAAGGCGGUGACGGGUAGCCGGCCUGAGAGGGUGGCCGGUCAGACUGGGACUGAGACACGGCCCAGACUCCUACGAGAGGCAGCAGUGGGGAAUAUUGCACAAUGGGCACAAGCCUGAUGCAGCGACGCCGCGUGAGGGAUGGAGGCCUUCGGGUUGUGAACCUCUUUCGCCAGUGAAGCAGGCCUGCCUCGUUUGUGGGUGGGUUGACGGUAGCUGGAUAAGAAGCGCCGGCUAACUACGUG